AACGAACGCUGGCGGCAGGCUUAAUACAUGCAAGUCGAGCGCCCCGCAAGGGGCGCGGCAGACGGGUGAGUAACGCGUGGGAAUCUACCCAUCUCUACGGAAUAACGCAUGGAAACGUGUGCUAAUACCGUAUACGUCCUUCGGGAGAAAGAUUUAUCGGAGAUGGAUGAGCCCGCGUUGGGUUAGCUAGUUGGUGGGGUAAAGGCCUACCAAGGCGACGAUCCAUAGCUGGUCUGAGAGGAUGAUCAGCCACACUGGGACUGAGACACGGCCCAGGCUCCUACGGGAGGCAGCAGUGGGGAAUAUUGGACAAUGGGCGCAAGCCUGAUCCAGCCAUGCCGCGUGAGUGAUGAAGGCCCUAGGGUUGUAAAGCUCUUUCACAGGUGAAGAUAAUGACGGUAACCGGAGAAGAAGCCCCGGCUAACUUCGUGCCAGCCGCCGCGGUAACAC
rnacentral:rRNA from 1 species